AUUGAACGCUGGCGGCAUGCCUUACACAUGCAAGUCGAACGGUAACAGGUCUUCGGAUGCUGACGAGUGGCGAACGGGUGAGUAAUACAUCGGAACGUGCCCGAUCGUGGGGGAUAACGCAGCGAAAGCUGUGCUAAUACCGCAUACGAUCUACGGAUGAAAGCGGGGGACUCGCAAGGGCCUCGCGCGGACGGAGCGGCCGAUGGCAGAUUAGGUAGUUGGUGGGAUAAAAGCUUACCAAGCCGACGAUCUGUAGCUGGUCUGAGAGGACGACCAGCCACACUGGGACUGAGACACGGCCCAGACUCCUACGGGAGGCAGCAGUGGGGAAUUUUGGACAAUGGGCGCAAGCCUGAUCCAGCCAUGCCGCGUGCAGGAUGAAGGCCUUCGGGUUGUAAACUGCUUUUGUACGGAACGAAAAAGCUCUCUCUAAUACAGGGGGUGAAUGACGGUACCGUAAGAAUAAGCACCGGCUAACUACGUG
rnacentral:rRNA from 1 species